AACGAACGCUGGCGGCAUGCCUAACACAUGCAAGUCGAACGAGACCUCCGGGUCUAGUGGCGCACGGGUGCGUAACGCGUGGGAAUCUGCCCUUUGGUUCGGAAUAACAGUUGGAAACGACUGCUAAUACCGGAUGAUGACGAAAGCCCAAAGAUUUAUCGGCAGAGGAUGAGCCCGCGUAGGAUUAGCUAGUUGGUGUGGUAAAGGCGCACCAAGGCGACGAUCCGUAGCUGGUCUGAGAGGAUGAUCAGCCACACUGGGACUGAGACACGGCCCAGACUCCUACGGGAGGCAGCAGUGGGGAAUAUUGGACAAUGGGCGAAAGCCUGAUCCAGCAAUGCCGCGUGAGUGAUGAAGGCCUUAGGGUUGUAAAGCUCUUUUACCCGGGAUGAUAAUGACAGUACCGGGAGAAUAAGCUCCGGCUAACUCCGUGCCAGCCGCCGCCGUAA
rnacentral:rRNA from 1 species